AGAAUGCUUUCAUGGAACUUUUGGAGUAAACUGUAAUGUCAUUUGUCCCGAUGGAUUUUAUGGAAGAUUCUGCCUCAAGAAAUGCAAAUGCUCGUCUUGCAAUAGAAUUUCCUGUUCCUGCCUGAAAACAGAGGAACAUACUGUAAGCACAACUUCUUUCAUUGCAAGAACGGAUAAAAAUGUCAUGCUUUGGUGGAUUAUUCCGGUAGCUGUCGGACUGGUUGUUGUAGGAUUAGUUUUUGGAUGCAUCAUCCAGAAAAAAUGCUCUAAAGGGAGCAAUCCAAAUAUUUAUUUCCACUCUGCAAACAUUCAAGAACGACAUACUUUUGAACGAGAUACGUAUGAUGCUUUGCAGAAAACUUCAGAGAAGAAUCAGACUGAUUGUAAGCAAGACAGCUGUAGAAAUAUUCGGAAUGUCUAGAACU